rnacentral:lncRNA from 12 species
GGGGUUUUGUAUUCCCUUAUCUCUCAGUGAGCUCCUGAUUCCUCUGCCCUCUGUGGGGCCCUGUCCUCGUGGAGCCUGGGGACAGGGAAGUGCCAUUAUCUCCCUGGUGCAGCUAGGGAAAGCUUCACCACAGCCCAAAGCCCCUCCUCCAGGACGUGAGAGUCCUCUGCUUGGGGAGGAAGCAGAACUCAAGAUGUGGAUCACCCCUGAAGCAGCCCUCAGGAAUCACACCCUGGGAAUGUCUGUGUGCCCACUGCUGUGGAGGUAGGGCUGUCCUCUGCCUUAAAAACACCUGAGGCUGGGUGAGAUGAAUACCUCUGACAUGCAUGGGAAUGAGG